rnacentral:rRNA from 1 species
GUCAGCAGCCGCGGUAACACCGGCGGCCCGAGUGGUGAUCGUGAUUAUUGGGUCUAAAGGGUCCGUAGCCGGUUUGGUCAGUCCUCCGGGAAAUCUGAUAGCUCAACUAUUAGGCUUUCGGGGGAUACUGCCAGACUUGGAACCGGGAGAGGUAAGAGGUACUACAGGGGUAGGAGUGAAAUCUUGUAAUCCCUGUGGGACCACCUGUGGCGAAGGCGUCUUACCAGAACGGGUUCGACGGUGAGGGACGAAAGCUGGGGGCACGAACCGGAUUAGAUACCCGGGUAGUCCCAGCCGUAAACGAUGCUCGCUAGGUGUCAGGCAUGGCGCGACCGUGUCUGGUGCCGCAGGGAAGCCGUGAAGCGAGCCACCUGGGAAGUACGGCCGCAAGGCUGAAACUUAAAGGAAUUGGCGGGGGAGCACAACAACGGGUGGAGCCCUGCGGUUUAAUUGGACUCAACGCCGGACAACUCACCGGGGGCGACAGCAAUAUGUAGGCCAAGCUGAAGACUUUGCCUGAAUCGCUGAGAAGAGGUGCAUGG